UACGUAGGUGGCAAGCGUUGUCCGGAUUUACUGGGCGUAAAGGGCUCGUAGGUGGCCAACUAAGUCAGACGUGAAAUCCCUCAGCUUAACUGGGGAACUGCGUCUGAUACUGGAUGGCUUGAGUUUGGGAGAGGGAUGCGGAAUUCCAGGUGUAGCGGUGAAAUGCGUAGAUAUCUGGAGGAACACCGGUGGCGAAGGCGGCAUCCUGGACCAACACUGACACUGAGGAGCGAAAGCCAGGGGAGCAAACGGG
rnacentral:rRNA from 1 species